UACGUAGGUGGCAAGCGUUGUCCGGAAUUAUUGGGCGUAAAGCGCGCGCAGGCGGCCUUUUAAGUCUGAUGUGAAAGCCCACGGCUCAACCGUGGAAGGUCAUUGGAAACUGAAAGGCUUGAGUACAGAAGAGGAAAGCGGAAUUCCACGUGUAGCGGUGAAAUGCGUAGAGAUGUGGAGGAACACCAGUGGCGAAGGCGACUUACUGGGCACAUAUUGACGCUGAGGUGCGAAAGCGUGGGGAGCAAACAGG
rnacentral:rRNA from 1 species